AUUGAACGCUGGCGGCAUGCCUUACACAUGCAAGUCGAACGGCAGCGGGCCCUCGGGUGCCGGCGAGUGGCGAACGGGUGAGUAAUGCAUCGGAACGUGCCAUUGAGUGGGGGAUAACGUAGCGAAAGUUGCGCUAAUACCGCAUAUUCUGUGAGCAGAAAAGCAGGGGACCGCAAGGCCUUGCGCUCUUUGAGCGGCCGAUGUCAGAUUAGCUAGUUGGUGAGGUAAAGGCUUACCAAGGCGACGAUCUGUAGCGGGUCUGAGAGGAUGAUCCGCCACACUGGAACUGAGACACGGUCCAGACUCCUACGGGAGGCAGCAGUGGGGAAUUUUGGACAAUGGGGGCAACCCUGAUCCAGCCAUGCCGCGUGAGUGAAGAAGGCC
rnacentral:rRNA from 1 species